GAUGAACGCUGGCGGCGUGCCUAAUACAUGCAAGUCGAGCGAAUGGAUUAAGAGCUUGCUCUUAUGAAGUUAGCGGCGGACGGGUGAGUAACACGUGGGUAACCUGCCCAUAAGACUGGGAUAACUCCGGGAAACCGGGGCUAAUACCGGCUAACAUUUUGAACCGCAUGGUUCGAAAUUGAAAGGCGGCUUCGGGUGUCACUUAUGGAUGGACCCGCGUCGGAUUAGCAAGUUGGUGAGGUAACGGCUCACCAAGGCAACGAUGCGUAGCCGACCUGAGGGGGUGAUCGGCCACACUGGGACUGAGACACGGCCCAGACUCCUACGGGAGGCAGCAGGAGGGAAUCUUUCGCAAUGGACGAAAGUCUGACGGAGCAACGCCGCGUGGGUGAUGAAGGCUUUCGGGUCGUAAAACUCUGUUGUUAGGGAAGAACAAGUGCUAGUUGAAUAAGCUGACACCUUGACGGUACCUAACCAGAAAGCCACGGCUAACUACGUGCCAGCAGCCGCCGUAA
rnacentral:rRNA from 1 species